GCAUUUCAUCCUCAGUCGCAAGGGCAAGUUGAACGCGUCAACCAAGUUCUCGAAGACAUGCUUCGAGCUUGUGUUAUUUCCUUCGGCAAGAAAUGGGAGGAAUCUCUCCCGUAUGCUGAGUUCUCUUAUAAUAAUAGCUAUCAAGCUAGUCUGAAGAUGGCCCCCUUCGAAGUGUUAUAUGGACGAAAGUGCCGAACCCCUCUGAACUGGUCAGAAACUGGGGAACGUCCACUCUUUGGUCCGGAUAUUAUCCAACAUGCCGAAAAACAAGUCCGCAUUAUUCGUGAGAAUCUCAAGACUGCUCAGUCACAUCAGAAGAGUCAGUAUGACCGUCAUCAUAAAGACAUGGUCUAUCAACCUGGCGAAAAGGCUUAUCUUCGAGUCACACCAAUGAAGGGUGCUCACCGCUUUGGAAUCAAGGGCAAACUAGCUCCUCGCUAUAUUGGCCCAUUCACUAUUCUCGAAAGGCGUGGUAAAGUG
rnacentral:rRNA from 1 species